GAUGAACGCUGGCGGCGUGCCUAAUACAUGCAAGUCGAGCGAACGGACGAGAAGCUUUCUUCUCUGAUGUUAGCGUCGUACGGGUGAGUAACACGUGGAUAACCUACCUAUAAGACUGGGAUAACUUCGGGAAACCGGAGCUAAUACCGGAUAAUAUUUUGCACCGCAUGGUUCAAACGUGAAAGACUGUCUUGCUGUCACUUAUAGAUGGAUCCGCGCUGCAUUAGCUAGUUGGUAAGGUAACGGCUUACCAAGGCAACGAUGCAUAGCCGACCUGAGAGGGUGAUCGGCCACACUGGAACUGAGACACGGUCCAGACUCCUACGGGAGGCAGCAGUAGGGAAUCUUCCGCAAAGGGCGAAAGCCUGACGGAGCAACGCCGCGUGAGUGAUGAAGGUCUUCGGAUCGUAAAACUCUGUUAUUAGGGAAGAACAUAUGUGUAAGUAACUGUGCACAUCUUGACGGUACCUAAUCAGAAAGCCACGGCUAACUACGUG
rnacentral:rRNA from 1 species